GAAGGAUCAUAUUUCUCAAGCAGCCUUUGUAGCUCAAGUCACCAGAUCGGAUACCCUUACCUAGGGCUCGUGCUCUUUUGUUCAAUUCAAUUCCACCUAUAUACAGCGUCUCCGCCAGGUCUAGUAAAUACAAAUUGAAAUACUUGAAGAAACGAUGAAACAGUCAGAUGGAAAAUGGAUAAUGAAAAAGUGUCAACAAUGUCGACCAACCUGGUGAUAUGUUUGGACGGGGCAGACAUCGAAAGACAAGAGUGAGAUCCAGCGAGAAGCAACAUGGCGUCUGACAAUUGUGUACGAAAACGAAAGCUUAUGUCAGUAGCACCCUUGGCUUCCUGAGUGGGUAAAUAGAUGUAGCUCUCCCCAUAAAAGGAAACUAUAAAGAAGAGAA